rnacentral:rRNA from 1 species
UUGAACGCUGGCGGCCGGCCUAACCCAUGCACGUCGAGCGGAUGAAGGGAGCUUGCUCCUGGAUUCAGCGGCGGACGGGUGAGUAAUGCCUAGGAAUCUGCCUGGUAGUGGGGGAUAACGUCCGGAAACGGGCGCUAAUACCGCAUACGUCCUGAGGGAGAAAGUGGGGGAUCUUCGGACCUCACGCUAUCAGAUGAGCCUAGGUCGGAUUAGCUAGUUGGUGGGGUAAAGGCCUACCAAGGCGACGAUCCGUAACUGGUCUGAGAGGAUGAUCAGUCACACUGGAACUGAGACACGGUCCAGACUCCUACGGGAGGCAGCAGUGGGGAAUAUUGGACAAUGGGCGAAAGCCUGAUCCAGCCAUGCCGCGUGUGUGAAGAAGGUCUUCGGAUUGUAAAGCACUUUAAGUUGGGAGGAAGGGCAGUAAGUUAAUACCUUGCUGUUUUGACGUUACCAACAGAAUAAGCACCGGCUAACUUCGUG